rnacentral:ncRNA from 16 species
AAAUUUAUUAGAACAGUGGAACUACAGAUACAAUUGGACGCCUUAUGCUGUAGGGAUGUGGUGGCGUAACCGGCUAACAAUCAU